rnacentral:rRNA from 1 species
GGGUUGUGAGGUUAAGCGACUAAGCGUACACGGUGGAUGCCCUGGCAGUCAGAGGCGAUGAAGGACGUGCUAAUCUGCGAUAAGCGUCGGUGAGGUGAUAUGAACCGUUAUAACCGGCGAUUUCCGAAUGGGGAAACCCAGUGUGUUUCGACACACUAUCAUUAACUGAAUCCAUAGGUUAAUGAGGCGAACCGGGGGAACUGAAACAUCUAAGUACCCCGAGGAAAAGAAAUCAACCGAGAUUCCCCCAGUAGCGGCGAGCGAACGGGGAGGAGCCCAGAGCCUGAAUCAGUGUGUGUGUUAGUGGAAGCGUCUGGAAAGGCGCGCGAUACAGGGUGACAGCCCCGUACACAAAAAUGCACAUAUUGUGAGCUCGAUGAGUAGGGCGGGACACGUGGUAUCCUGUCUGAAUAUGGGGGGACCAUCCUCCAAGGCUAAAUACUCCUGACUGACCGAUAGUGAACCAGUACCGUGAGGGAAAGGCGAAAAGAACCCCGGCGAGGGGAGUGAAAAAGAACCUGAAACCGUGUACGUACAAGCAGUGGGAGCCUCUUAAUGGGGUGACUGCGUACCUUUUGUAUAAUGGGUCAGCGACUUAUAUUCUGUAGCAAGGUUAACCGAAUAGGGGAGCCGAAGGGAAACCGAGUCUUAACUGGGCGUUAAGUUGCAGGGUAUAGACCCGAAACCCGGUGAUCUAGCCAUGGGCAGGUUGAAGGUUGGGUAACACUAACUGGAGGACCGAACCGACUAAUGUUGAAAAAUUAGCGGAUGACUUGUGGCUGGGGGUGAAAGGCCAAUCAAACCGGUAGAUAGCUGGUUCUCCCCGAAAGCUAUUUAGGUAGCGCCUCGUGAAUUCAUCUCCGGGGGUAGAGCACUGUUUCGGCAAGGGGGUCAUCCCGACUUACCAACCCGAUGCAAACUGCGAAUACCGGAGAAUGUUAUCACGGGAGACACACGGCGGGUGCUAACGUCCGUCGUGAAGAGGGAAACAACCCAGACCGCCAGCUAAGGUCCCAAAGUCAUGGUUAAGUGGGAAACGAUGUGGGAAGGCCCAGACAGCCAGGAUGUUGGCUUAGAAGCAGCCAUCAUUUAAAGAAAGCGUAAUAGCUCACUGGUCGAGUCGGCCUGCGCGGAAGAUGUAACGGGGCUAAACCAUGCACCGAAGCUGCGGCAGCGACACUAUGUGUUGUUGGGUAGGGGAGCGUUCUGUAAGCCUGUGAAGGUGGCCUGUGAGGGUUGCUGGAGGUAUCAGAAGUGCGAAUGCUGACAUAAGUAACGAUAAAGCGGGUGAAAAGCCCGCUCGCCGGAAGACCAAGGGUUCCUGUCCAACGUUAAUCGGGGCAGGGUGAGUCGACCCCUAAGGCGAGGCCGAAAGGCGUAGUCGAUGGGAAACAGGUUAAUAUUCCUGUACUUGGUGUUACUGCGAAGGGGGGACGGAGAAGGCUAUGUUGGCCGGGCGACGGUUGUCCCGGUUUAAGCGUGUAGGCUGGUUUUCCAGGCAAAUCCGGAAAAUCAAGGCUGAGGCGUGAUGACGAGGCACUACGGUGCUGAAGCGACAAAUGCCCUGCUUCCAGGAAAAGCCUCUAAGCAUCAGGUAACAUCAAAUCGUACCCCAAACCGACACAGGUGGUCAGGUAGAGAAUACCAAGGCGCUUGAGAGAACUCGGGUGAAGGAACUAGGCAAAAUGGUGCCGUAACUUCGGGAGAAGGCACGCUGAUAUGUAGGUGAAGCGACUUGCUCGUGGAGCUGAAAUCAGUCGAAGAUACCAGCUGGCUGCAACUGUUUAUUAAAAACACAGCACUGUGCAAACACGAAAGUGGACGUAUACGGUGUGACGCCUGCCCGGUGCCGGAAGGUUAAUUGAUGGGGUUAGCGGUAACGCGAAGCUCUUGAUCGAAGCCCCGGUAAACGGCGGCCGUAACUAUAACGGUCCUAAGGUAGCGAAAUUCCUUGUCGGGUAAGUUCCGACCUGCACGAAUGGCGUAAUGAUGGCCAGGCUGUCUCCACCCGAGACUCAGUGAAAUUGAACUCGCUGUGAAGAUGCAGUGUACCCGCGGCAAGACGGAAAGACCCCGUGAACCUUUACUAUAGCUUGACACUGAACAUUGAGCCUUGAUGUGUAGGAUAGGUGGGAGGCUUUGAAGUGUGGACGCCAGUCUGCAUGGAGCCGACCUUGAAAUACCACCCUUUAAUGUUUGAUGUUCUAACGUGGGCCCCUUACCGGGGUUGCGGACAGUGUCUGGUGGGUAGUUUGACUGGGGCGGUCUCCUCCUAAAGAGUAACGGAGGAGCACGAAGGUUGGCUAAUCCUGGUCGGACAUCAGGAGGUUAGUGCAAUGGCAUAAGCCAGCUUGACUGCGAGCGUGACGGCGCGAGCAGGUGCGAAAGCAGGUCAUAGUGAUCCGGUGGUUCUGAAUGGAAGGGCCAUCGCUCAACGGAUAAAAGGUACUCCGGGGAUAACAGGCUGAUACCGCCCAAGAGUUCAUAUCGACGGCGGUGUUUGGCACCUCGAUGUCGGCUCAUCACAUCCUGGGGCUGAAGUAGGUCCCAAGGGUAUGGCUGUUCGCCAUUUAAAGUGGUACGCGAGCUGGGUUUAGAACGUCGUGAGACAGUUCGGUCCCUAUCUGCCGUGGGCGCUGGAGAACUGAGGGGGGCUGCUCCUAGUACGAGAGGACCGGAGUGGACGCAUCACUGGUGUUCGGGUUGUCAUGCCAAUGGCACUGCCCGGUAGCUAAAUGCGGAAGAGAUAAGUGCUGAAAGCAUCUAAGCACGAAACUUGCCCCGAGAUGAGUUCUCCCUGACUCCUUGAGAGUCCUGAAGGAACGUUGAAGACGACGACGUUGAUAGGCCGGGUGUGUAAGCGCAGCGAUGCGUUGAGCUAACCGGUACUAAUGAACCGUGAGGCUUAACCUUACAACGCCGAAG